GUGAAGAGGAGGAGCAAGGUGUGGACCUAAGAAAAUAAUAAAUUCUGUGUAACUGACAGCAAAAACACAGACUUAGGCACUGUAUUCUAGCUGAUAAUGAUAUUUCUCAAUAGAUACCAGGUUAACAGCUCUAGUACUGCUAUACAUGUGUACUGAAAUUGAACAGUUAAAUAAAUGGAGGACAUCCACGUUUAUCACUGAUGGAGUGGGAGUUUACAGAUAAGCAGGAGGAGGAGGCCAGAAAGAUGCAUGUGGUGAUGGAUUAGAAUUGGAGACAUCCUGCCCUCAAGGAGAGAGAACAUAAAAGAACAUAAAUCCGCUUUUCAUCAAUGUGAGCUGCACCAACUUACCUCCUCCCAAAGAGCACAAAAUAGAAAGGAACGAAAAGAAAAGAGCAACUUUACAGUGAAGAAACCUACAAACACUACCUCAGCCAGCAGAGAGAGAAAGAAAGCAGAG
rnacentral:lncRNA from 1 species